rnacentral:tRNA from 1 species
AAGCAUCCCAUAGACAACGUUAAUGUAGCUUAAUUAAAGCAAAGCACUGAAAAUGCUUAGAUGGAUG